GAUGAACGCUGGCGGCGUGCCUAAUACAUGCAAGUCGAGCGAACGGACGAGAAGCUUGCUUCUCUGAUGUUAGCGGCGGACGGGUGAGUAACACGUGGAUAACCUACCUAUAAGACUGGGAUAACUUCGGGUAACCGGAGCUAAUACCGGAUAAUAUUUUGAACCGCAUGGUUCAAAAGUGAAAGACGGUCUUGCUGUCACUUAUAGAUGGAUCCGCGCUGCAUUAGCUAGUUGGUAAGGUAACGGCUUACCAAGGCAACGAUGCAUAGCCGACCUGAGAGGGUGAUCGGCCACACUGGAACUGAGACACGGUCCAGACUCCUACGGGAGGCAGCAGUAGGGAAUCUUCCGCAAUGGGCGAAAGCCUGACGGAGCAACGCCGCGUGAGUGAUGAAGGUCUUCGGAUCGUAAAACUCUGUUAUUAGGGAAGAACAUAUGUGUAAGUAACUGUGCACAUCUUGACGGUACCUAAUCAGAAAGCCACGGCUAACUACGUG
rnacentral:rRNA from 1 species